GUCGAGCGGAAACGAUGGAAGCUUGCUUCCAGGCGUCGAGCGGCGGACGGGUGAGUAAUGCAUAGGAAUCUGCCCGAUAGUGGGGGAUAACCUGGGGAAACUCAGGCUAAUACCGCAUACGUCCUACGGGAGAAAGCAGGGGAUCUUCGGACCUUGCGCUAUCGGAUGAGCCUAUGUCGGAUUAGCUUGUUGGUGGGGUAAUGGCCUACCAAGGCGACGAUCCGUAGCUGGUCUGAGAGGAUGAUCAGCCACAUCGGGACUGAGACACGGCCCGAACUCCUACGGGAGGCAGCAGUGGGGAAUAUUGGACAAUGGGCGAAAGCCUGAUCCAGCCAUGCCGCGUGUGUGAAGAAGGCUUUCGGGUUGUAAAGCACUUUCAGUGAGGAAGAACGCCUCUGGAUUAAUACUCUGGAGGAAAGACAUCACUCACAGAAGAAGCACCGGCUAACUCCGUGCCAGCAGCCGCGGUAAUACGGAGGGUGCGAGCGUUAAUCGGAAUUACUGGGCGUAAAGCGCGCGUAGGUGGCUUGAUAAGCCGGUUGUGAAAGCCCCGGGCUCAACCUGGGAACGGCAUCCGGAACUGUCAGGCUAGAGUGCAGGAGAGGAAGGUAGAAUUCCCGGUGUAGCGGUGAAAUGCGUAGAGAUCGGGAGGAAUACCAGUGGCGAAGGCGGCCUUCUGGACUGACACUGACACUGAGGUGCGAAAGCGUGGGUAGCAAACAGGAUUAGAUACCCUGGUAGUCCACGCCGUAAACGAUGUCGACUAGCCGUUGGGCUCCUUGAGAGCUUUGUGGCGCAGUUAACGCGAUAAGUCGACCGCCUGGGGAGUACGGCCGCAAGGUUAAA
rnacentral:rRNA from 1 species